CAGGCACUGAGACACACACUUUUUUUCCCUAGCUGCUACAGGAGCUGAGAGACCCUACCCUCACUUUCCGUCUGCUUGGCUCCCCCAGGCCUGUAGUGGUGGAGACACGCCCAGUGGAUGAUCCUACUGCUCCCAGCAACCUCUACAUCCAGGAAUGAGUCCCUAGGGGGGGUGUCAGGAACUAGUCCUUGCACCCCCUCCCCCAUAGACACACUAGUGGUCAUGGCAUGUCC
rnacentral:sRNA from 1 species